AUUGAACGCUGGCGGCAGGCCUAACACAUGCAAGUCGAGCGGAUGAGUGGAGCUUGCUCCAUGAUUCAGCGGCGGACGGGUGAGUAAUGCCUAGGAAUCUGCCUGGUAGUGGGGGACAACGUUUCGAAAGGAACGCUAAUACCGCAUACGUCCUACGGGAGCAAGUGGGGGAUCUUCGGACCUCACGCUAUCAGAUGAGCCUAGGUCGGAUUAGCUCGUUGGUGAGGUAAAGGCUCACCAAGGCGACGAUCCGUAACUGGUCGGAGAGGAUGAUCAGUCACACUGGAACUGAGACACGGUCCAGACUCCUACGGGAGGCAGCAGUGGGGAAUAUUGGACAAUGGGCGAAAGCCUGGUCCAGCCAUGCCGCGUGUGUGAAGAAGGUCUUCGGAUUGUAAAGCACUUUAAGUUGGGAGGAAGGGCAGUAAGUUAAUACCUUGCUGUUUUGACGUUACCAACAGAAUAAGCACCGGCUAACUUCGUGCCAGCCGCCGCGGUAAGAC
rnacentral:rRNA from 1 species